rnacentral:lncRNA from 1 species
GUAGAUGUGAUUAGCAUCUACAGUUAGUUGACUUUAAGUAAAGGAGAUUGUCCUUGAUAAUUUUAGUGGCCCUGAUUCAAUCAAUCAGUUGAAAGAUCUUAAAAGCAGAAAACCUGAGGUUUUCUUUUAAGGAGGAAGACAUUUCACCUGUGGACUGCAGCAUCAGCUUCUGCCCAAGAGAUUCCAUAUUUUCCUACAGAUUCUGGACCUCCCAAGACAGCCCCACAAUCACAUAAGCUAAUUCUCUGCAAUGAAUUAAUUUAAAUAUCAGAUCACUGGUGCUGUUUGUUUCUCUGGUGUAACCCUGAGUAUAUGUUACCCUAAAAUAGGCAAUAAAUGAGUUAGAAAUU